GUCUCUGUUGUUGUUCUUCAGCUUCUCUUCCUGUCUUUCUGUAAUACAUUCAAAGACAGACACACUUGUCAAAGGGAAGAAAUGCUGAGAGAUUCAGUGAUGGUUUCCUUUUUCUUCUCAACUAAUGCAAAAGACAUGCAAAAACACCCAAAAGCGAAUGCAUUAAAAGUCUACAAUGGAGAAAUUACAGUAUGACGUUCACAUGACAUGGUGAAACCCUACAUCCCAACCCGCACUCUCCGCUCUGCAUUUGCAAAACUACUCGUCCCUCCCUCACUGAGAGCAAAAUGUCACCAGGGGGACAUUGUGGUUUCUGUAAAUUAUUGUAAACUACAUGCACCUGGAGGGACUAAUCAAUUACAGAGAGCCCUGGCCAACCACAUUACACAAUGAAAGGACCUCCCCUCUCCAAUUAACACAGCUGCUAUGAAGGACACUAAGCGCCACAGAAAGGAGAAGCCACGGGAAAUCAAGUGAGAGGGCGGCAAGACAUCGGAAGAGCAAGCAGGGUGCAACGAGGAGAGGAACGAAACGGACUGGACACCUCACCCAGGAAAGAAACGGAACCGGAAACAAGAAGAAAGGGCAAGACCGAUCAGCAGCAGUGGCUGGUCGAAUUCUUAAAUCCUUUUAGUACUUUGUUCCAGCUGGACUUUUAAUAUUGUAGUUAUUUAUGGGUUUUUAGUUAAUAAUAAAAUCCUCCUUUUAAACCACGCUUUUAAGUCUUGUGAUCCAUGCUGUUCUUCCUCUGGUGAACAAGUCCCCUGUUUUAUGGAGACCUAGACUCCGCAACUAGGUGGCGUUGCUGGUACCUUUUUUAUAAAUGUAUCUUAUUUUUGUUAGGUUUUAAGUCCCCCGCCUCACAGGGCUGACAAAAACACUCGACUAGAUCUCGACUCUUUGCUGUCCGGUGGAACGAGCUAUGUGAAGACACCAGGACCGCAGAGAUCCUUCACAUCUUCCGCCGCAAACUAAAGACACACCUCUUCAGACUCUACCUCGAC
ensembl:lncRNA